AACGAAAGAUUUAUGUUGAAAGCAAUUAACCCGAUGUGACCGGGUCGUAAGCGGUAUGCUUGAAUCUCAUUAUGAGAGUAUAUGCCAUUACCCCUUUAAUUGGGUAAUCGAAUGUGUAAAGGAAAUGAAAGUAUAUGAGCAAAUGGAACUAAAAUGUUAGUAUUGUAAGCGAAAUAAGUAUUAUGACUAACUUUCAAAAUGGGAAGGGCAAGUGUUUGCAAGAAAACACUGGAACAGUGAAGCGAUGAGAUCGUAAGCAUGUCUGAACUGAAAAGGAGUACAAACAUGUACCUCGAUACGUAUGUAUAUAUAAAUAAUAAGAAUGAUAUAUUAAGAAAUGGCCAUGUAUUGACUCGUUAUGAAUAGGUCUAACACACUAAUGUCUUAAGAAGAAUUGAGAAAGUAUUGAUAUAUAAAUGAGGUGAUGUGAUAAACAACAUGUCUGAAUGAGAUCGAAUGAAAUGUGUAAAUCACAAAUUUUAUAAUGAGAUUGGCAGUAAUCAUGAUGCAAUAAAGCUACCUAGGACGGUGAAAGAAUGCUCAUGAAUGGAAGCUCAUGUUACCAGAUGGACAAGAUCAACCCUGUUAAGAUACGGGUUCGUGAAGGAGCAAGUCAACUCGGGUUGUUACACGUUGGCUCGUGCCAAAUUAGCGAGGUUAGUAAAUGGUUUAACUUGUGGAUGUUAAAUAGAAAGUUACAUAUUGAAUAAUACUUCUAUGCGAACUGGUGGUACUGAAUUGAGUGAUCGUAACUGUGGAAAUUCUGAUAGAAUAUAAGAAACGACAAGUAUCGAUAAGAAAUGCUAACCUUGAUGCUCGGCUUGUUGGCCAUGUUCAUUUGAACAAGGCAUUGUAGAAAAGAUAUGCAUGACAUAAAUAACAAUAGUAACCAUGGAAAUAAUGCUUAGUCUUCAUGUUAAGUACGGAUAAGUAGGUGUAAAAAGGGUGAUUUCGGUUGUAAUAAUAAGUCUUUGAAUGAUUGCAGUAGGCGUAUGAUAAUAUAUCGACCCUUCCUAUGAGCUUAAAGCUAAUCAGAGGUAAUGAUAAUAAUGGAAUGUUUAGGAUAGCUCAUAGUGAACAAAAUAAAAGAUAACAUAUGAUGUAUGAGUAGUAUGAAAUAAAUCGAUUUAUUUUGAUUAGUAAAUGUAUGAAUGUAAUAUGGUUAAAUAGGAAGCUAGAAACAAGUUGUGACCUUAGGUCUUUACGAGUAAUAAUUGUAUACAUUUGGAAUAAGUUCAAUAAAUGAAAUGCUAGUGAUAGUAUGUACUAGAAACUAGCAAUAUAAAGUGAAAGACACUAAUAAGAGCUCUGGAUCAGACCCUGACCUCGUGUGAUUAUGAAAGUAAAUUACUAAUUUAAGAAGAUAAGGACAAUGCGUACGAUCAUAAUUAUUCAUGAUUAAGACUUUUGCAAAGACCCCGAAUGACUUAUGUUGUAAUGUGCCCAUUGAAUGAGUACAAUAGAAAGGUAGGAGUAAGAACGAGAAAGGUUUCGGGGACGAAACCUUCUUUAAGGGGGGUAGACUUGUAACACCCCAAAAUUUGAAUUAUUAAAUUCGUUAGCAUGUUGCCAUGUUUAAUAAAAUGAGAUACAAUAACUAAGUUAAUAAACCUAGUUAAAUGCCUAUUAGAUAAGCUAAAUGAUGAAACUUGUGGCAUUUAUGAUAGUAAGUUAAACUUGAGGGACUUAGAGUGCCAAACUUGGAAGUUUAAUUUAUUAAAACAAAAAUCACACACACAUCCACACAACGUGUGCGUGUGAUCGAGCAGGAGAAAAGGGGAAGGGGUGUAAACCCUAACCCACAUGAAAUCAUCAAAUUGGAAAAGGAUUUGAGGGUUAAUUGGAUGCAUGAACCAAGAUUUAUGAUCACUCAAGCGUUCUUGACACCAAGAUAGGAAUCCCAAAUUGAGAUGGACCCAAGUAUGGAAAGCUAACGGGUCAAGCGGAGGUGAGGAAGCAAGCAUGAACACUAACGCUUAAGGUAAGUGAUUCCGUAAUCACUUCUUAGUUGUUUAUGUAAUGUUAUAUGCAAUUUAAUUAUAUGUGAUAAUUGAGGUCGAAUAGGAAUGAAUUGUAUGAUGUCAAUGGAGUAUUAAACGGAUUUUAGUUUUGAUCCGAGCAAGGUAGGUGUGAUUAAGAAAUAGUAGCUAAGUAGUGGAAUUGGUUACUUAUGUAAGGAAUUCCUUUGUUAUUAAGGAUAGAGCAUAGUUGACUAAAAUGCCCUUGAUAGGUAUAUUGGGCAAACGACCUUAGAAGUCGUUUGGAAACGAGCUAUUCGAUUAGAGUAAUGUCUUGGACAAGUAUGAAAGCGAAGUAUAGGGUUUGGUAUGUCAUAGUCCACUUAAUGCGCAAAUACCCAUAACGGGUCAAAAAUAAGCCUUUGAGCGAAAAUGGGUUAAGAGGAUGCAAGACGUCCGAGAAUUUAAUCUUUUAUGAUAGGUGCCAAUGAAAUUAUUAAAGUUCAUAUGAGAUUGAGGUCAAAUAAACAGAUUAUGUUGAUAAAUGCACGAACGGGUCAAUUAGUUAGAAAAUGAUAAUAUGCCGAAUGCACGUAAGUUAAGAAUUUCCUUAAUCCGGAGGUAGGAUUUCAAGUUAAUAUGAUAGAAUGUGAAUUUACAAGCAUGUAGGAAGAAACGGGAGGUUAAACAGGUAAACGGUUUAAAAGUUAUGCGAGUUUUAGUGGGUGUUUUGUAUCUGCACCCGGAGUAUGGAACGCCGGGUUUGGGAGUAUGGAACGCCGGGCAGAAACCCAAACGCCCAUGCUUCACUGUCAAACGCUGGUACCAUGUUAAAGUGAACGUCGGGGUGUUCCAAACAAGCCUAGAUCACUUUCCUUGAGUUCCUUUGAUGUGUGUAAAGCUCCAUGUGAUAGGUUUAUGAUCCGGAAUUAUCACGUAACCUUCCACCACUACCCUACAUGUAAAAAUGCAUCAAAGUAACAUGUCUCGAUACAAAUACGAUGCUAAAACAUGUAAAUAUUAACCACUUAGGCGUACCAAAAGCAUAUGCAUCAGAUAUGUACGUAUGUAUGUAGGUAUAAAUAUGAUUGUAUGUAGAUAUGUAGGUGCGUAUGAUCAGACGUAUGGAUAUAUGAAUGCACGAAGUAGGAUUUAUCGUCUAUGAAAAGAAUGGGACAGGUAUGCAUGUAUACAUGGUUUCAAUACGUUUGAGUAUGGACAUUACUAAUGAUGUGCUUGAGAUUGAAAUGUAAUGCAGGAAUGAGAACGUCAGACUCUUGUAGAAUUGAAGCCGAACCUUGAAGCCGAACUCGGAACAAAGGAAUCCGAGAGGAUAGUCGAAUGAAUCAAAGUUUAUGUUGUCGAAUGUUAUAUGAUUUUUAAUUUGUAUCAGAUUAUUGUAGUAUGACGUUGUCAAUGACUAAUGGUUAAGUUGUAUGUGGCGUCCACAGGUACUACACGGAUUUCUUCUGCUGCUAAGGAAGUGAAGCGGACGUAGAUCGAGUCAAGAGCAAGGAUUGUACGGAUAGAUCGGUCACAUAGUUGAAGUAUAUAAUGUCUAGAAAUCUAAAUUUUAGUAUGAAUGUUGUGAAUUCUUUUAUAGAACGUUUAACAUUUUUAGAAUUUGGAACCUUCGUGAAAGUAAUGUCAUUAAUAAGGAAAGAAAUUUUAAAGCUCUU